rnacentral:rRNA from 1 species
AUUGAACGCUGGCGGAAUGCUUUACACAUGCAAGUCGAGCGGCAGCACGGGGGCAACCCUGGUGGCGAGCGGCGAACGGGUGAGUAAUACAUCGGAACAUGCCCAGUCGUGGGGGAUAACACUUCGAAAGAAGUGCUAAUACCGCAUACGUCCUGAGGGAGAAAGCGGGGGAUCGCAAGACCUCGCGCGAUUGGAGUGGCCGAUGUCAGAUUAGCUAGUUGGUGGGGUAAAGGCCUACCAAGGCAACGAUCUGUAGCUGGUCUGAGAGGAUGAUCAGCCACACUGGGACUGAGACACGGCCCAGACUCCUACGGGAGGCAGCAGUGGGGAAUUUUGGACAAUGGGGGCAACCCUGAUCCAGCCAUUCCGCGUGAGUGAAGAAGGCCUUCGGGUUGUAAAGCUCUGUCGGCAGGAACGAAACGGCGAGCUCUAACAUAGCUUGCUAAUGACGGUACCUGAAGAAGAAGCACCGGCUAACUACGUG